rnacentral:rRNA from 1 species
CAGCCGCGGUAAUUCCAGCUCCAAUAGCGUAUACUAAAGUUGUUGCGGUUAAAAAGCUCGUAGUUGGAUCUUGGAAUGUGUUCAAGCGGGUCAGCUUCUGGCUGUGCGCUGCUUGACGUGUUCUUCUAUUUGGUUUUGGUGCGGUGCGCUUAACUGCGUGUCGCUCCCGGCCGAAACGUUUACCUUGAAAAAAUUAGAGUGUUCAAAGCAGACCUGUUUGAGUCUGAAUAUUCGUGCAUGGAAUAAUGAAAUAUGAAUUCGGUUCUAUUUUGUUGGUUUUCGGAACUCGAGUUAAUGAUCAAGAGGGACAGACGGGGGCAUUCGUACUCUGCCGUUAGAGGUGAAUUUCUUGGAUCGGCGGAAGACGCGCAACUGCGAAAGCAUUUGCCAAGAAUGUUUUCUUUAAUCAAGAACGAUAGUCGGAGGUUCGAAGACGAUCAGAUACCGUCCUAGUUUCGACUGUAAACUAUGCCAGCUAACGAUCAGACAGAGUUCUCUACGACUUGUCUGGCAGUUUCCGGGAAACCAAAGCGUUUGGGUUCCGGGGGAAGUAUGGUUGCAAAGCUGAAACUUAAAGGAAUUGACGGAAGGGCACCACCAGGAGUGGAGCCUGCGGCUUAAUUUGACUCAACACGGGGAAACUCACCCGGCCCGGACACAGUGAGGAUUGACAGAUUGAGAGUUCUUUCUUGAUUCUGUGGGUGGUGGUGCAUGGCCGUUCUUAGUUGGUGGAGCGAUUUGUCUGGUUAAUUCCGAUAACGAACGAGACUCUGGCAUGUUAAAUAGUCGCGGAAGUGCGUAUGCACUUGCCGAAUUGACUUCUUAGAGGGACUAGUGAUUUUAAUUCACACGAGAUUGAGCAAUAACAGGUCUGUGAUGC